GAAUAUUGCGCAAUGGGCGAAAGCCUGACGCAGCCAUGCCGCGUGUGUGAAGAAGGCCUUCGGGUUGUAAAGCACUUUAAGCAGGGAGGAAGGCCAUACGGCUAAUACCCGUGUGGAUUGACGUUACCUGCCGAAUAAGCCCCGGCUAACUCCGUGCCAGCAGCCGCGGUAAGACGGAGGGUGCGAGCGUUAAUCGGAAUUACUGGGCGUAAAGCGCGCGUAGGCGGUUUGUUAAGUCGGAUGUGAAAUCCCCGGGCUCAACCUGGGAACUGCACCCGAUACUGGCCGACUUGAGUGCGAGAGAGGGAGGUAGAAUUCCACGUGUAGCGGUGAAAUGCGUAGAUAUGUGGAGGAAUACCGGUGGCGAAGGCGGCCUCCUGGCUCGACACUGACGCUGAGGUGCGAAAGCGUGGGGAGCAAACAGG
rnacentral:rRNA from 1 species